UCCACGACUAGAGAUCUAAUCUCCAAAAUCCAUCACCCUCAAUAUAUACAACAAUUGAAGCAAAAGAGUGAUAUGAACCAAAAAGAUUAGGUGCUUAUCAUUUGCAUGCUCGAAGUAGAAUUAUAAAUUUGGGACUAACACCUAGAGGUUGAAAGAAUUUCUUCAUGUUGACUCGGAUUCAAGGGCAGACAUCUAAUGGAAGGGUUGACUCAUUAUAGUCACUCGACAUAUUUAAUCAAGGAUUGGCGUACCAAGUUCGUUGUUGAAUUCGGGCUUUCUUCGAAAUGAAGUAAGGUUGAAGAAGAGUAUUUCUUGGAAAAUAAGAUUGGUGAAGCCCAAGACCUAAGUUAUGGUUAACUUGAGAAGAGACAAGGUACAGAUAGUCGGUUUGGUGACCCUUCAGCAUAGGAUUUCUACUCAGCUGUUUUGGA